rnacentral:rRNA from 1 species
UACGUAGGGAGCAAGCGUUAUCCGGAAUUAUUGGGUGUAAAGGGUGCGUAGACGGGAAUACAAGUUAGUUGUGAAAGCCCUUGGCUUAACUGAGGAACUGCAACUAAAACUAUAUUUCUUGAGUGCAGGAGAGGAAAGCGGAAUUCCUAGUGUAGCGGUGAAAUGCGUAGAUAUUAGGAGGAACACCAGUGGCGAAGGCGGCUUUCUGGACUGUAACUGACGUUGAGGCACGAAAGUGUGGGGAGCAAACAGG